rnacentral:misc_RNA from 1 species
CAAACCUCAAGCCUUGCUUGGUGAUGGGCCCCGCCCGAGCGGCGGGCCCGAAACUCGUGGGCGCCCCAGGCCGGACUCCAAGCGUAGCAAAACCCUCGCUUGCGGACGACCGGUCGGAGGCCGCCCCGGACCCCAAUUUUUAUCAAU